rnacentral:rRNA from 1 species
GCGCGAAAACUUUACAAUGCGUGAAACUGUGAUAAGGGAACUCCGAGUGCCCGUAAAAUCGGGCUGUCCAUCUGUUUAAAUAACAGGUGAAGAAAGGGCCGGGCAAGACCGGUGCCAGCCGCCGCGGUAAUACCGGCGGCUCGAGUGGUGGCCACUAUUACUGGGCUUAAAGCGUUCGUAGCUGGUCUGUUAAGUCUCUGGGGAAAUCUACUGGCUUAACCAAUAGGCGUUUCAGGGAUACUGGCAGACUAGGGACCGGGAGAGGUGAGGGGUACUCCAGGGGUAGGA